UCUCCACUCUUCUGAUUCGGUGUCCGUGGAGGAUCUUCUUAUUCGAUGGCUAUUGGUUUUGGGUGAAGGAUGAGUGUUGUUUUAGAAUUGAUUUGGGUUUUGAUGUUUUAACUUUAGAUUUGUGUGGAUUCAAAAUCUUUAAUCAGAAACUCAAAAUCGUUGAAGAGUAACUAAUGUUAACGAUUGUUAAUUGACAUUGUUUUGGUAUCUUCUGGCAAUUGGUGUAAAACCUUUGCAAUGUUUUGAUUCAAUUUGUGGCCUGCAAUUUAAUUAAUACGUAAUUCAUAUUUGUUUCAAAAAGAAUUGAGCAAAUACAGUUGGGUUCAUAGGUAAGGCAUGCCUAUGCAUAUUGCAGAUUAAAGUUUGAGUUCUGCAAUUGAAGGUUUAACAUUUUUCUUUUCAGGACUUCAGGAUUUGGAAGUUAUAUAAGGGGUUCAAACCAGGUGGGUUUUCUCUGGCCCAUGCUUUUGGUUUAGUUUGGAUUCUUAGAUAAGUUGCUGGAAUUGAUGCAGAGAGAAUGGGUUUGGGUACCAGUACAAUGGCCAGCAGUGUCUAAUUUAUGUCAUUUCCAAUGUAAGCAAAAGGAAUGUGAAGAGGAAUGAGUAUGUAUUGUUUGAAGCUCCUAGGCAACAGCAAAAGAAGGCCUCCAAAAAGAGAGCUUGAAAAAACAAUGAAAUCUACAUUCAUUCGUGAGAUACAAGCUUUUCAGUACAACUUCAAAAUGAGAGUUUGUGUAUCAAGAGUAUGGAGACCAAAGAAGUUCAAUACUGACAUAUAUGAUGGCCUCCAUUAUGUCUUAGUUGACAAAAGAGCAACAACUGUUUUUUGAAUCAACUCCAGCAACAACUUUUCCUGACCAACUCCAGCAUCUAAUGCAGCUGCAACUGAAGCAAUCAGCUAGAGCAUUUUGUGCAACUGUGAUUGGAGCAAUCACUUUUUUGAACAAGCUCCAGCAAUAACCUUUGCUAGAUUAACUUGAGACCCUUUUGUAAAACUAGCAUUGUUGCACCGGCUCCAGUUGAACAAGCUUCAACUAAAAUGUAACAUGUAUAAAAACUCUUUGAUACUUUAAUAAUA